CCCCAAAUUUCCCUUUUUCUUUUCUUUUCUUUCUUUCUUUCCUUCCUUCCUUCUCUGUUUCGUUUUGCUCUCUGUUUCUUUCUUUCUCCCUUCUCUGUUUUGUUUUGCUCUCUGUUUCUUUUCUUUCUUUCUUUGUCAUAUAUAUAUAUAUAAUAUAAUAUAAUAUAAAAUAUUAAUAAUAAUCAUUACUUACAUAUAUAUAUAUAUAUAUAUAUUAACUAGAAUAUCUCAGAUAUUUCUUUCAUUAUG
rnacentral:lncRNA from 1 species